UGCCAGCAGCCGCGGUAAUACGGAGGGUGCAAGCAUUAAUCGGAUUUAUUGGGCGUAAAGAGCGCGUAGGCGGUAGGGCAAGUCAAGUGUGAAAUUUCGGUGCUUAACACCGGAGCUGCACCUGAAACUGCCCUUCCUGAGGAUGGACGGAGAAAGCGGAAUUCCACAUGUAGCGGUGAAAUGCGUAGAUAUGUGGAAGAACACCCGUGGCGAAAGCGACUUUCUAGUUUAUUCCUGACGCUGAGGUAUGAAAGCUAGGGGAGCAAACAGGAUUAGAUA
rnacentral:rRNA from 1 species